GGCCGCUCCGCCGCGCAACCCCCGCCCCCGCCGCCAGACCCGCCCCGCAGGCGGGGCGGGCGGAGAGGAAGUGGCCCGGGGAGGCCGGAAGCGCCGGUGACGAGGGGGCUGGCGGAGCGGGGCGCCGGACGCAUUGCCAAUGGAUGAACUGGUGCAUGACUUGGCCUCAGCCUUAGAGCAGACUUCAGAACAAAACAAGCUGGAUGAGCUAUGGGAAGAGAUGGCCCUAAGCCCACGGCAGCAGCGGCGUCAGCUUCGUAAGAGACGGGGUCGUAAAAGACGUUCAGACUUCACGCAUCAGGCAGAGCAUGCCUGCUGCUACAGUGAGGCCUCUGAGUCAAGCUUGGACGAAGCUGUCAAGGAUUGCCGCGAGGUGCUGACAGCCAAUUUCAGUGACUCUGAUGACAUGGCAGUGGUCAAACGACACCCAGCUCUCAGUGCCACCUUGAGGAGCAAGCAACACUCGUGGCAUGAGUCAGACUCCUUUACAGAGAACGCACCCUGUCGACCUCUCAGACGCCGACGGAAAGUCAAACGUGUGACAUCAGAGGUGGCUGCCAGUCUCCAGCAAAAGCUCAGGGUGUCAGAGUGGAACUAUGAGAGGGGCUGCAGGUUCAAGUCAGCCAAGAAGCAGUGUCUUUCGCGCUGGAAGGAGAAUGCCCCUUGGACAUCAUCCAGUCAUGGCCUUCGUGAAUCAGGGGAGAACAGGCCCUUCCUCAGCAAAGGGGGAAGGAAGGAGCGGAUGGAGUGUGAAGCUGAUGAACAGAAACAGGGCUCAGAUGAAAACAUGUCGGAAUGUGAAACCAGCAGUGUAUGCAGCAGCAGUGAUACUGGCCUGUUUACCAAUGAUGAGGGCCGUCAAGGAGAUGAUGAGCAAAGUGAUUGGUUUUAUGAAGGAGAAUGUGUUCCAGGAUUCACUGUCCCCAACCUUCUUCCCAAGUGGGGAGCUGACCACCGAUCUGAAGUGGAGCGGAUUGACUCAGGCCUGGACAAGCUCUCAGAUUCCACGUUCCUGUUGCCCUCACGGCCGGCUCAGAAAGGAUUUCAUGCUCGCCUGAAUCGCCUUCCAGGAGCUGCUGCCCGUUGUCUCCGAAAAGGUCGGAGGAGGCUUGUUGGCAAGGAGACCUCCAUGAGCACUCUGGGCACCGAGAGGCUAGGUCGUAUUGUUAGUGAUCCACGCCAGAAAGAUUUUUGGUUACCAUCCAUGGGGAAGAGAGAUCGCAAUCAGGUAAGCUGACUCUGCUCUACCUUUUCUUUUUUUUUUUUCUUUUUUUUUGUUCUCUAGAAAGAACAAAGUGCCAGCUUCUGGUGUGGCCUGUGCACGUGAGUUCAAUCCGUUAUCUCCUCUGUACUCUCUGGAUGUGCUUGCUGAUGCUUCCCACCGAAGAUGCUCACCAGCACACUGCACUGCCAGGCAAGCAAAUGUACACCUGGGACCACCAUGUUCAAGGGACAUCAAGAGGAAACGAAAGCCAGCUGCAGCCUCCAUGUCCAGCCCAACAUCAGCAACUUCAUCUGUCCACAUGGAUGCAGCAGAGUCAGAGCUACCAGCAGCACCAUCCCUGAGAUCCCAGAACUCUGAGUGGACAGGGAAGCCACCAGCAGCUGAGAAAGCCACUAUUGCUGCCUCCAGUAACUUUUUUAAAAUGCCACCAGAGAAGAGCCCUGGAUACGGCUGAAAGAACACGUUGCAACUGUAAAAGCUUGCUGGAUUUUGGAAGUGUUUGACUCUGAUGUGUGUCUUCUCCAAACAUCUUGUUUGGCAGUAGCAAUAUCUUCAGUAUUGGUGCAUGAUGCGUGCCAUCAUCCAGACUGAUCUGCGUGCCCCGCAUACUUAAAUCAUGUUUGUGAAUCUGUGUUUUAAAAAAGGUAAUCAGUGGUGGGACCGCAGUGUUUUUUUAAAAAUGUUCUUGUUAUUGCUGUAUUUAUUAUGCAUUCAUCUCCUUCCCUGAUGCCAGCUUAUAUGUGCUGGGUCAUGUACAGAUUCUUUUGGGUUUUCAGAUCUUUAUUCAUGUCCUGGACAUGUUGCUUGUUUGUGCAUUUGGCGUUUUUGGGGUGAAAGUCCUCCUGCCGCUCAGGGAGGCAAAACACUCCCCUUGCUUUCUUCCAGGCCAGAAGGAUUUCUUGGCUGGGGAAUGAGGGGGGAAUGCAAACAAGUUGAAACACAGAACCUGAAUUCUGUAUUAGCAGAAUGCUUUCAGGCCAUGUGCUAAUGGACUCGAAUCAUGUUGCUUCCAGCGAAGCAAAUACAGUGCUUGUCCAUUCGGCAGUUGCCAUUGGCUCACUGGUAGCAUGGCCCACUAGACUUUUUCUUUCUCCCAUAUUCCGAAUGUAUUUGGUCUUGCUUGUGUAUUGCAUGUUCUUUCCUAAAUGUCCUACUGGAUAAGGAUUUGGGGAGAACUACUUGGACAUAAGUGUGCAAGCUGGUGUCCUGAAAGGAACCUGGAUCUGUGAAUAUGGAUCUGCCUUGAAGUAUGGCAGAUGAUAUACAAAGCUUCAGUUUCUUGGUGUAUAAAUUAAAAAGUGACAGUGUUUCUAAAGGAUGCUUGCCAUUGAAAUUAAAGUGCCAUUGAACAAAAAGCCAUUUAAAAUAUCACCUGAGUUCAGGGCAUUCUGGGUAUCAAUCAGACCACUUCUGUCUCAUGGUUUCCCUCCCUUAAAGUAUUGUCUGCUAUAUCUGCUGGAGGCGUCUCCACCUACCGAUAAUUGUACUUUACUCUGCAACAUACACAAAAGAGAUUCUUUGCUCUUCAUAGCACUUCCACUUGGUCCCCUGUUAUGUCUGUGUUGCAGAAUAUAUGCAUAGUGGUUUUUUUCCCCUCUUUUCUUGAAUUCUUGAUCACACUUCAGUUACUUUUCUUGAAUUACUCUGUCUAGAGCUUAUUUUGGGGUAUGUUUUUAGAAUAUAUACCUGUAUAGCGUAUGUCAAGGAACAGGUGACCUCAUGGCUGCUUAAGUCCUUUAAAAACAGGAUAUACUUGUAUGCAUAAAACUCCUUUCGCUUUCCUCACCGGAUGGAACUUUCCAGGCAGGACAGUUUAAGCUUGUGAAAUUCAUUUUGAAUGUUGCAGUUAGUGCGGUUAGCACUUUUAAAUAGAUAGCAAAAUUUACAUGUUUUUAGUGGUUUUGCAGUGUUCUGUACUCUGUUAUAAAUCAAAUAGCUGAUGGACAGAUUUGAUUGUGAGGAUAUAAAACAGUGAUUUAUAUUUAACUGUGUAUUAAAAUGUUAAAUGGUCAUAACAUACAGAAAACACAAAUUGAAUGACUCACUAAAUCACGAUUGACAAAUACAGUUAUGUUACAGACA